CAGUCGCCGCGGUAAUACGAGGGGAGCUAGCGUUGUUCGGAAUUACUGGGCGUAAAGCGCGCGUAGGCGGCUUUUUAAGUCAGAGGUGAAAGCCCGGGGCUCAACCCCGGAAUUGCCUUUGAAACUGGAAAGCUAGAAUCUUGGAGAGGUCAGUGGAAUUCCGAGUGUAGAGGUGAAAUUCGUAGAUAUUCGGAAGAACACCAGUGGCGAAGGCGACUGACUGGACAAGUAUUGACGCUGAGGUGCGAAAGCGUGGGGAGCAAACAGGAUUAGAUACCCGUGUAGUCCCUGUCUCUUAUAC
rnacentral:rRNA from 1 species